AAAUUGAAGAGUUUGAUCAUGGCUCAGAUUGAACGCUGGCGGCAGGCCUAACACAUGCAAGUCGAACGGUAACAGGAAGCAGCUUGCUGCUUUGCUGACGAGUGGCGGACGGGUGAGUAAUGUCUGGGAAACUGCCUGAUGGAGGGGGAUAACUACUGGAAACGGUAGCUAAUACCGCAUAACGUCGCAAGACCAAAGAGGGGGACCUUCGGGCCUCUUGCCAUCGGAUGUGCCCAGAUGGGAUUAGCUGGUAGGUGGGGUAACGGCUCACCUAGGCGACGAUCCCUAGCUGGUCUGAGAGGAUGACCAG
rnacentral:rRNA from 1 species